AUAAUGAAGGGAGAGGCAAUAAACAUCAAAACAACACAGAAGGCAGUGAACAAGCUGAGGCUAGAUGUAGCCACUGCCCUCCUCCGAGAAACUGACAAUCUCAGCAACCUGUGCCACUACUGUGGGAUGGAGGACAAGGAUGAGCCACUAUGGAUCUGCUGCGACAUCUGUGGGAGAUGGUACCACCACGAGUGCGUGCAGAGGCCUACACUGGAGGAGGACUACUGGUGCCUUGCAUGCACAUAAUCCCCUAAAUAAGAAAUGUGUUGUCAUAAGUUAAUUUGUCUGUAUUGUUAUAUAUUAGUUUGUGUGUCAAACAAAGUUUAAUUAUUAUUGAUCUAUUUUCAAGUCAUUUCGUAUGACUUUCUGUAAACAUGUUUUUUUAAAUGUUAUUUAAUUUGUUUUGGAAUUAAUCAUUGUUAGGCUGGUUUUAAGCUGGUGUUAUUAAAAUAAUAAUUU